rnacentral:rRNA from 1 species
GUGGGGAAUUUUGGACAAUGGGCGCAAGCCUGAUCCAGCAAUGCCGCGUGCAGGAUGAAGGCCUUCGGGUUGUAAACUGCUUUUGUACGGAGCGAAAAGGCUUCCACUAAUACUGGGGGCUCAUGACGGUACCGUAAGAAUAAGCACCGGCUAACUACGUGCCAGCAGCCGCGGUAAUACGUAGGGUGCAAGCGUUAAUCGGAAUUACUGGGCGUAAAGCGUGCGCAGGCGGUUUUGUAAGACAGGUGUGAAAUCCCCGGGCUUAACCUGGGAACUGCACUUGUGACUGCAAGGCUGGAGUACGGCAGAGGGGGAUGGAAUUCCGCGUGUAGCAGUGAAAUGCGUAGAUAUGCGGAGGAACACCGAUGGCGAAGGCAAUCCCCUGGGCCUGUACUGACGCUCAUGCACGAAAGCGUGGGGAGCAAACAGGAUUAGAUACCCGUGUAGUCC